rnacentral:rRNA from 1 species
UACGUAGGGAGCAAGCGUUGUCCGGAAUCAUUGGGCGUAAAGCGCGCGCAGGCGGUUGGCAAAGUCAGCUGUGAAAGCCCCGGGCUCAACCUGGGAAUGGCGGUUGAAACUAGUCGACUAGAAUCUGGCAGAGGGGGGUGGAAUUCCACGUGUAGCAGUGAAAUGCGUAGAGAUGUGGAGGAACACCGAUGGCGAAGGCAGCCCCCUGGGCUGAGAUUGACGCUCAGGCACGAAAGCGUGGGGAGCAAACAGG